ensembl:lncRNA
CAGGGAAAUUCUGCUUCAGAGACAGCAACAAGGGAAGAAUUGAAACUUCUCAAGGUUAAAAGGAUCGUUUCCAGAAUGUGAAGUGGGUAAUCAAGAAGCAUUACAGUUCCAGGUACCUGUUUGGAAGAGAAGAAGAACUAUGUUUCCCCAAGAGCCUUUCUGAGUACUGUUAUCAUUCCUGCUCAAGGGAACAGAUAUAAGGGUGCAGGUCAUCUUACUCUCCUCUCUUCUCGUCUUGCCGUGUUCUGUGUUGGAUCGGCUUGCUGCUGAUGCUCCCAACUGUCACUGUUCAAGCACUAAGGAGAGGCUCUAGGUGUGAGAACGAGUGCGACAACAACAAAGAGAAGAAGCAAAUACUUUACUGGAAAAAAAAAGAAAAAAAAAAAGGUGGAUGUGGAUGGUACGACAGUAACGGUUAAACCUCUCAGAUGGCAGCAGAGGAUCAGUCUUACAAAAUGGAGUCUGACAUGGAAAUGCACUUGAAACAAAGGUCUGUCAUUGACUCCCAUGAGGAAAAAAUGGCACCCACUGACAUUCAUUGACAUUUAUGGAGUCCAAACAGUGGACGUGAGCACAGGGAGAUGGUACUAUGAACAGAAAGAAAACAACAACAACAACAACAACAACAACAACAAAACAUUAGGAAUCAUUACACUGUUUGGUUCUCCCCACACAUUCUUCUUAUCUACGACGCAGAGAUCAAACCAUCUACAAGACAUUCUAUCUCAAGAAUCUACCUCUAGAAUCUGCAGUUUGUGUCUGUCUACUGAGCAUAUUCUGAGCAUUUUACAGAACCUCCAGAUGUCUUGACAUGCAUGAGACUUGGUUCCUGUUGUCUAAAAUAAUGCCUUUUCUAGCAUCACCAGCUGUUGCCUGAGGAAGUACUGUGAGCCUCUCUACCUCUAGCCCUGGUGUGCUUAGGCUGCCUGAAAAGUGAAGUAAUGGAGCCGUAUGUUGUUACAAAGAAUUUGUGCAGGCCCGACAUUUUGCUAAACUUCUCUCCUAGGUUCUGCGCUAGCUCUGUUUCCUUGCUAUUAUUGGUACCAUUAAACUAG